rnacentral:rRNA from 1 species
AGUGAACGCUGGCGGUAGGCCUAACACAUGCAAGUCGAACGGCAGCACAGUAAGAGCUUGCUCUUACGGGUGGCGAGUGGCGGACGGGUGAGGAAUACAUCGGCAUCUACUUUUUCGUGGGGGAUAACGUAGGGAAACUUACGCUAAUACCGCAUACUACCUACGGGUGAAAGCAGGAGAUCUUCGCACCUUGCGCGAUUCAAUGAGCCGAUGUCGGAUUAGCUAGUUGGCGGGGUAAAGGCCCACCAAGGCGACGAUCCGUAGCUGGUCUGAGAGGAUGAUCAGCCACACUGGAACUGAGACACGGUCCAGACUCCUACGGGAGGCAGCAGUGGGGAAUAUUGGACAAUGGGCGCAAGCCUGAUCCAGCCAUACCGCGUGGGUGAAGAAGGCCUUCGGGUUGUAAAGCCCUUUUGUUGGGAAAGAAAAGCAGCAGGUUAAUACCCCGCUGUUCUGACGGUACCCAAAGAAUAAGCACCGGCUAACUUCGUG